AGGGAUGUAGCAAAAGCUACAGGUAACAAUCUGUGGGUCAGGGGCCAAGUUAGGGGACAAUGAGGGGAUGAGUUGGUGAUGAGAGUGCAGAGCAGAGGGGCUGGGCAGCCAGAGCUGUAGGUGGGACAUGGAACAGCAUAAGGCAACCAAGGGUUAAGGGUCAUGGAGGUGGAGGCAGGAGACCCUGUUCAGUACCCCCUGCUCACCAUCCAUCCAUCUUGCUGAGGUUUCAUUUGGGCUCUGCAAUGCAGGAAGAGACUGUAGUUUCCUUCUUGUUUCCCUGCAUGUUCAGGCUCUUUCCUCUCUGCAGGGUCACCUCGGCCAGUACAUGGUUCCUGGGCACUCACCUGGGACAGGGGCCAGCUUGGUGGCCAGCCAAGUAGCUGUGCAGUGCCCAGUCCCAGGGACAGCACCGAGGAAGGUGUGCCAGGAUCAGGGCCCCAGCACAGAGCACUGACCAUCCUACGUAUCACAGUGCUGCUUUCUCCUUCCCUGGGGGGUAGACUCCAGUUCUGGACGUGAGAGACAUUAGAAGGAUGUUGUGAAAUAAAACCUAUAGAAGUCCACCGAGAUUCAUCAAUAAAGGAAGGAAUCCACGGAGGAGAUUCAGUGUUACUGGGAGCCGUGGAAGUGAGGGAAGCCAAAAAGUGUCCUGCCACCUGCUCCCACUUGUGUUGCAGUUCAGUCAUCACCAGGGGUGGUGGAUUCCUGGGGCUGGUGCCUCCAGCAGUGGCAGGGUGGAGUGGUGUCUAACACACCCGUCAAAAGCUUCGGCGUGGGCACUUCAAUGUCCACCUUUCCUGUGUUUUUCCAUGUUCCUGAUCUAAUUGCACCAACAGAGCAGUCAAAAAUUAACCUCCUUCCACCUGGCCCAAACAGGCUCUUUUAGAAGAGUUCCUGGUGUCUGGCAGCAGCUUUGCCCUACCUCACACAGACAAGUGCUAAAAUAAAUAUCAUCCUCUUAAAAUGUA